CCCGCCGUGAUGUUGCUGGAAUAUUGCUAAAAGCGGCGUAAAACCAAACUCAGUCAGUCAGUCAAAGGCAAAUCAGAGAAAUACAAAGUAUAUUUUGCACAUCCAACUCACUCUACUUUUUACACAAACAACAAAACAUGAUAGAAAAUGCAAAUAAAGUAAUAGUGAAUUUAAUCCAAGUGUCUUUAUAUGUCAGAUAUCUUAACAAAAGUCACCAAAGGAAGGUGGGAUUCUAUUCAUAAUCCAAAGUCAUUCUUCCAAUGUUUUCAUUUUGCAGACGAUGACAGAUAAGACAUUUUGAUCGUGAAAUAUGCAGCGAAAUGGAAUCAGUUGUAGGCAUUUCAUUGUGACGUCAUCCUAACCGAUGACGUCAAAAUGGCCUGCAAAACAUUGCGACGCAAUAUAAGACCUACCUGGGAACAUAGGUUGGAUGGGACGGACGUUGACAUCACUGCUCAGAUGUCACAAAGCUCAGGUGGGACGGAACUCACCUCUCAACACAACUCAGGUAGGACAAGACUCACCUGACAAUACAUCUCAAGUAGACAAUGAAACCUAGGUACGGCGAUACUCACCUGUCAUCAUAACUGGUGUAGGACGAGACUCACCUGACAUCAUAGUUCAGGCAGGACUAUACUCACCUGACAUCAUAGUUCAGGUAGGACGAGACUCACCUGACAUCAUAGUUCAGGUACGACGAUACUCACCUGACAUCAUAACUACUGUAGGAUGAGACUCACCUGACAUCAUAGCUAUCGUAGGACGAGACUCCCCUGACAUCAUAGUUCAGGUAGGACGAGAUUCACAUGACAUCAUAGUUCAGGUCGGGCGAUACUCACAUGACACCAUAGCUCACGUAGGACGAGACUCACAUGACAUCAUAGUUCAGGUAGGGCGAUACUCACCUGACAUCAUAGCUCACGUAGGACGAGACUCACCUGACAUCAUAGUUCAGGUAGGACGAGACUCACCUGACAUCAUAGCUCACGUAGGGCGAGACUCACAUGACAUCAUAGUUCAGGUAGGACGAGACUCACCUGACAUCAUAGUUCAGGUAGGACGAGACUCACCUGACAUCAUAGCUCACGUAGGACAUUACUCACCUGACAUCAUAGUUCAGGUAGGACGAGACUCACCUGACAUCAUAGCUCACGUAGGACGAGACUCACCUGGCAUCAUAGCUCGGGUAGGAUAAUACUCACCUGACAUCAUAGUUCAGGUAGGACGAGACUCACCUGACUACAAAGCACAGGUAGAAUGGGACUCACUUGACGACAGGACAGGUAGCACGGAACUCACCUGACGACACAGCCAAGGUAGCAUGUUACUCACCUGACGAC